rnacentral:rRNA from 1 species
GACGAACGCUGGCGGCGUGCUUAACACAUGCAAGUCGAACGGAAAGGCCCUGCUUUUGUGGGGUGCUCGAGUGGCGAACGGGUGAGUAACACGUGAGUAUCCUGCCCUUGACUUUGGGAUAACUUCAGGAAACUGGGGCUAAUACCGGAUAGGAGCUCCUGCUGCAUGGUGGGGGUUGGAAAGUUUCGGCGGUUGGGGAUGGACUCGCGGCUUAUCAGCUUGUUGGUGGGGUAGUGGCUUACCAAGGCUUUGACGGGUAGCCGGCCUGAGAGGGUGACCGGCCACAUUGGGACUGAGAGACGGCCCAGACUCCUACGGGAGGCAGCUGUGGGGAAUAUUGCACAAUGGGCGGAAGCCUGAUGCAGCAACGCCGCGUGCGGGAUGACGGCCUUCGGGUUGUAAACCGCUUUCGCCUGUGACGAAGCGUGAGUGACGGUAAUGGGUAAAGAAGCACCGGCUAACUACGUG